rnacentral:misc_RNA from 1 species
AAGUCGUAACAAGGUAACCGUAGGUGAACCUGCGGUUGGAUCAUUAAUAUAUUUUCUUAUUUUUCCUUGUACUGAUUGCUGUAAUAGGCUUAAGGUCAAGGAAGAAUUAACCCCAAUUGUGAACCAUUUAUUGUAUUUUUGGGUAAGGUGGUUAACCAAAUUAAAUUUUGGUUAGCUAUUAAAAUUUUUAUAAAGUUAAAAAUCAAGGCUAGCCUCAAUUUUAACUUUUUAAAGACCUUACCCAACUUAAUUUAAGCACUAGUAGUUAAACUUGUCUUUAAAACAACUUUUUUUUUAAAGUUAUUAUUAUUAUAAUGAAAAAAAAAACAACUUUUGACAACGGAUCUCUAGGCUCUC